GAGCUGCAUGGUUCAGGAAGAAAAGUGAAUUGGGGUCCUGUGGCCUGAGUUUUAGCCCUGUUUCUGCUGGCUGUGUGGCCUUGAACGGGCCUCUUUUCUUCUCUGUUUGCCAGUGUAUCCUGGUGUGAAAUGAGGUUAUUGAGUCAGAAGACGCUCUGCCAGCUCUGACGCUUUGUUUCUGUUUUGGAGAAAUUAAUGCAAACAUUAGAGCUUUGCUGGAGUUCCAUCCUGACUUUUUGAGGAUGGAAUCCUAUUUUCCAUUCCUUCCAGCUGGCCCUUUGCUGAAGUGCAGAGGGGUCCUAAAUUGACCUUUGUCGGCCUUGGGUAAAUGGGUGGGCCGCAUCACCCAGUGCCCAUAACCCCAUGGCUAGAACCAAACUCCAAUCAAAGUCAGCCCGAUUUUUUUCUCACACUUGCCUUAGAAAAAAGUCACAAGUUUUGGUAAAAGGACCCCAAAGCAGCCUGCUGGCACCUUUGAAUGCACAUUGACAGUGGUGAGAAAUGCUAGGCAAGCCCCAGAAUAAAGCCAGACUUUCCCGAGACCAGAGUAAGCCAUUGACAUUGGUCUAGAACAGCAAAAUAAGGAGCAAGGGAGGGCGUGGGGUAGGAGAGGCAAUUCAGGAGUGAAUUCUCUGCUGCUGGUGAGUCAGGACAGGUGCCGGCGGUGAACUUUUCCACUGAAUGGGAUGUGGUGGUGUGGCGGGAACACUGGAUUAUUAGGCAACUUACUUCUGUGGCUUUAAGUACAUUACUUCCCCUCUCUAGAUCUCAAUUUCCCCAUUCCCACUGUAAUGAGAUGGUAAUAAUACCAGCUGCCGUGUUGCUCUGAACCUAAGAGCUCUUUGCGAAUUGCUCAAUAUUCUACAUGUGUUACAGGAUUUUUAUUCCUGUAGUUUCCCUGGGCUGGGCUGGGUGAGGCAGGUAGAAGGAAGGGUGAGCUGGGUGGGAGCUCUCCUGACACACUGAGCAGCCUGCAGCCGUUGCUGAUGUAAUUACGGAUUUCCAAAUGAGAGAGGACCGCUUAGAGCCCCUGUAAUUGAAAUGGGCUCUGAGGUGCACCACAUUUGAAUGGCUCAAAAGAUAUAAUUAGGCAAUCGACGAGCCAGGCCUUGAAAGGAGGAGACCCAACAUUUUCUUUGGGAGAAGGUGAUGAAGUGGUUUCGGGGAGAGUUUCUGGCUGAGUCUCCGACAAUGGGGUGUGCAUUUGCACAGCUGCCUUCCCCAUCACAGUGAUGGCCUCCUUUGGUCCUGCUACAGGACACGCUGGGACUUCUGGAGCCAGGAGGGUCCCAGGGAAGGUAUAAUCUGCUGAGCCCUCCCAGGCUUGGCUUUCCUGAGGACCUGGAGCCGUCCCCAGGAGGGGUCUGCCUUCUCCCUGCAGGGCUGAGACCGCACAGGACUCCAGGGACCCCUCUCCAGAAACCCCUGAGGCAGGAGUGUCUGCCUGCUCAGAAGACUUGUGAAAAUUCAGGAAAAAUGCAUGCAAAUGAACACUUUAAAGAUGAUCUUGUGUAGAACUGGUGCUUUGCAAUCUGGAAGACUCUGCGUUUGAGUCCUAGCUUUACCUGAGCCAAUCAGCAUCUCUUCCAGCCUCCUUUUUCCCAUGUGUGCCCCAGACUCCUGAGAAUCCCACCUAAGCCCUGGGGCAUUUUCAGAUCAGCCUGGGGCUUUGGGAAGACUGGCGGUGGAGAGGAGGUGGUGGUGCUGAAAAGUCAAGAUGAAAUUGGACUUGUCCCCAGCGAGUGAGGACCGCGCUGAACUAGAACCAGCGCUAACAAAUGAUGAUACGGAAGCCGCUCGCUUCAUGUCCUUAGAAUCUCUCAGAGGAGUCCGCUUUUCUGCUGGAGCCAUUUUAUUUCAGAUAAGAAAACUGAGGCACAGCGUUCAAGUCAGUUGCCCUCAGGCUCCUGGCUAGUGACAGAGCCAAGUGUUAAGUCCAAGCUGUCUGCCUCCAGAGCCCAGCUGGCAACCUCGGAAGAAUCGCAGAAGCUUUGUCCCAGACAUUUAUUACUGCUGGGCAUCUUCUGUUUGCCUCUGGAGAGGCACUCUCCACUCGUCUCCAUUCUGCUUUGCUCCCCGGAGUGCCUUGGUGAAGCCUCUGCUGGAACCCUAUUGCAGAUUGUAUUUUCCAGAGAUGGUUAAAACAAUAUCUCCCAUCUCACGUGCUCGUCUUACAAUGUGAUUCUGACAAUUCUCCCUCAAGAGGAAGUGACACUGUAACUUCUGAACGAGUCCUAAAAGAUAAUGCAGCUUCUGCUUGAUCCUCGUGGGACACUCACCUUUGGAGCCCUGGGCUGUCUUGUCCAUAGUUUGUCCCGAGACUGCCAUGAUGCGAGGAAGCCCAAGCUGGCUCCCGCAGAAAGACAACCCGGGGAAGUCCCGAGAAAGAUUGCUGGCCAGCCCUUGCUGCUUCCACACCCCCUGUCUGACUGCCAGUACAGGAAAGGCUGCAGUCAGAGAAGUCCGGCUGAGCCCUUCCUGAUUCCUGUCCCACAGAUCCUAUGAAACAUACUGCAAUCGUUGCUUCUUUAAGCUGCCAAGAUCGGAGUGGAUAGUUGCACGGCAAUAGAUAAGUAGGACAGACCCUGACGGAUACGUUCCAUCUACACCUCUCCCUUAUGAGCGGUGAGUUUCCUCUGGUGAAGGCAUCACACCUCAUCAUACUCCCUGGAGUGGCUACCACACUGCAGUCCAUCAUUCAUGAAUAUGAAUGUUUGCGAACGGGUCCAAAGGAUGUGGCUGAUUGGAGUUUGCGUCCUCAAGGAAGGCUUGAGCGCUUGGCUGGCUUGGGACAUAAGGAAAUGGCGACCACAGGAGGGCAGAUCUGCGGUUUCUACUUCUCCUGUUUGCAGAACAGGAGCUCCACGUGGCCAGGGACUCCGUGAAUGAAUCCCCACGCACCGGAGCAAUGCCCCGCACGUUGUGCCCACUCAGAAAAGGUUUGCUGGGUGACUGGAGGCCCCGAGGGACUGGCUUAGUUUGGCUGCCAUCUCAGAAUCCAGCAGGCUGGGUGCCGUACAAACAACAGAAAUGUAUGUCUCACAGUUCUGGGGGCUGGAAGUCCAAGAGAUGGUGUCUGUUAAGGGCUUGCUUUGGGGUUUAUGGAAGCCCAUCUUCUCACGGUGUCCUCACAUAGCAGAAGGGCUGAGGGAGCUCUGGGCGGCCCCUUUUAUUAAAAGCGCUAAUCCCAUUCAUGAGGGCCGUGCCCUCACGACCUCAUCACCUCCCAAAGGCCCCAGCCCCUGCUACCAUGAUGUUGGGGGUUAGGGUUUCAACAUAUGAAUCUUGGGGGACACACUGAGACCAUAGCUCUUCUAGGUUUGUAAUGUGUGUCUCCAGGGAGAUGAAGAAGUUGACGCGAGUCAGUGACCCAGCACCUUGAAGGCGCAGAUCAGGCCUGGGUGUGGUGACAAACAGAGAUUGAAGACAGUCUCAGGAGUCUUGGCACCAGGGUACAAAGACCUUAUCCAAAUAACCCUGGGGAAUUUAAACAAUUCUUUUCAUCAUUCACUGAAUUUCUUUCCAAAACCUUCAAAUGCAGAGGAGGAACAAAAGUGGGGAGAUUGUUUAUGAUCUCUGGUCCUUUUUCUUUAACCUUGAAGCUGAGUGAACAAAAACAAUGGAGCUCACCCCAGAAGAAUGUCGUAAGUUGCAUUUGGUUGUUUCACCUAAGUUCAUCCGGCUGUUUAAAGCUGAAGGAGGAAAUAGAUCACGGAGUGGUAUUAACAAGCACCGGUUUACUGAGAGUUCGGCCAAGUUCAGAGGGUAUUUGACACGCAUGGUUUGCCACCCUCUUCUCAGGACCAGGAAAAAGGAACCACAAAUAUCUCAUCACUUCACUAAGCCUUAGUCUCCUCAUCUGAAAUAGGGUGACAAGACUGACCUUUGGUGUUUGAGGCUGAAACCAGGGGGUAAGUCUGAAAGUGCUGGGUAGACCACCAGGUAUUGUACCAAGUGCAUCAUUGUAUCAUUAUAAAAGGAUCUGAGCUCUGCAUGGUAAACAUGCCAUAUACCAACAGCAGGGGAAUUCACUGAGAUGUCCAUUUGGAAUUAGUUCUUAUGUAUUUUUCCUUUGCUCGUUCUAGGUAGAUAGGUCUUUUGGGUUUCCUUGUUUCAGAACUCCUUGGGCAAAGGGUUGAAAGCAGUUCUUCAAGAUAAUUCUCCCUCCCUUUCCGGCCUGGCUUUGGCAAAGAUUAACCUAGGAAGGAGGCAGCCGGGAAGGCUGGGGAGCAGGAGUAGGAGAGAGAGAAUCAGGGGAGUGGGGAGAAAGUGGGCUGAAGAAGUCCUCCCAACUUAGAAGAGACGUGGCUUGGAUUCCAGGCUCUUACUCCCCUCUCUCCCAGGGCCCCAGAGUGGAGGCAGAGCCUUGGUGAGCGCAGGAGCCCGCAUCUUCUGCAGACGUCACGGCCCAGAAGCAGCAGGUUAACCCUUUCACCUCAGAGAGGAUCAUCAUGACGAGGAGGUGGGCCGUCAUGGAAGGAGGAGGGGACACGGAGCAAAGGGAGCAUGUGGGGUGUGACCUUGGGCUCCCUUCAGCAGGCUCCAGGCCUCACCCGGGAAGAUGUUUGGGGCCAGCGUGUGAGGGCAAGUGCAGCGCUCCCUCCCCUGGGACCAUCAUGGUGGUCUUCAGACCCCUCCAAGGAGAAGGCGAGUCCUCGAUAUGGCUGGAAGGUUCCUGAAGCUGCGUUCCCCACACCCCCAUCCUGCCCCUAGCCAGUCUCUUUCCAGGGCCAACCCUAGAGCUUCUGGACUUUAUUUUUAGUAAUAAAGCCAAUAUUUCCAUAAUA